CCCCCCCCCCCCCGCAUUCUGAUCAACCUUAAGCAGAGAGUAGCCACCCAUCAUUUUGAUUGUGGCCAAAGGUUCCACAUGACAAGCAUUCUUAACCCUAGAUAAGGUCUUCUCUGUCCCUUUUUCCUGCUUCUACAUCUAAAUGCCUCCUCUGGUGAGGUGUAGAAUCCCUGUGUGGUGACAUCACAGUUGGGCUUUGAGGUCAAGGCACUAAGGUCACUGAGAACAGAAAGCUUGUCUGCUUGUUUGGUAGUUUCAGCUCUGUGUCUCUAGGGAUUCCAACAGUGCCUAACACAAAGCAGACAUUCCUAACACCACCACGGGAUGACUUAGUGGAGUGCCAAAAGAGCAAAGAGCAGUCAGUGAGUGGAAAGCAGGAUAGCCCACCCUGGUGAAGCCUGAGUCUCCAGCCCAGAUUCCUCUCAUAUCUCACUGCUUGCUGAUGGGGGAAAAGAAGAGACAGACCCACGAGACUAGACACCUUUGUGGAUGAGUUCUAGCCAAAUGAUCAGAGAUGUAACGUGACCAGGUCUGUCCAGCUUCCACCACAGAGUGUCUUUUACUAUAUACAUGAGUCUAACCUAACAUUUGAGCCAAAUAAACCUUCUCUCCCAUAA